CCUACGGGAGGCUGCAGUGGGGAAUAUUGGACAAUGGGGGCAACCCUGAUCCAGCCAUGCCGCGUGUGUGAAGAAGGCCCUCGGGUUGUAAAGCACUUUCAGUGAGGAAGAACGCCUGGUGGUUAAUACCCAUCAGGAAAGACAUCACUCACAGAAGAAGCACCGGCUAACUCCGUGCCAGCAGCCGCGGUAAUACGGAGGGUGCGAGCGUUAAUCGGAAUUACUGGGCGUAAAGCGCGCGUAGGUGGCUUGAUAAGCCUGUUGUGAAAGCCCCGGGCUCAACCUGGGAACGGCGUCCGGAACUGUCAAGCUAGAGUGCAGGAGAGGAAGGUAGAAUUCCCGGUGUAGCGGUGAAAUGCGUAGAGAUCGGGAGGAAUACCAGUGGCGAAGGCGGCCUUCUGGACUGACACUGACACUGAGGUGCGAAAGCGUGGGUAGCAAACAGGAUUAGAUACCCUAGUAGUC
rnacentral:rRNA from 1 species